rnacentral:rRNA from 1 species
UCAAGAAUAUUAGUCAAUGCUCGCAAGAGUGAACUAGCUAACUGGAAUCAUGAGUGUGUCACUUGUGAUAAGUUUGGGAAAAAUAAUGAUAUUACCCAUUAUCUUAUAGUGUUGUCCAAAGCUGGUGCCAGAAGACUCGGUAAUGCCAGAGACGCAAGCGUUAAUCAUCUUGAAAAGGCGUAAAGGGUUUGUAGGCAGCUUUAAAAAAAUAAUUAAAGAUAGAAUCAAAUAGAGGUCACUGUGAGAGAACUCCUAGAUUAGGGUUGAUAUCUGUAUAAACUAGGAGGAAUUCUAAUUAGCGAAGGCACUUUUCCAUCUAAUGAUUGACGCUGAUAAACGAAGGGGAGGAUCGACAAUAGGAUUAGAUACCCUGGCAUCCCUCUCUGUAAACGAUGAAUGGUAGUUGCUAGUAAUAAUAAUUAGUGACGAUGCUAACGCGUUAACCAUUCCGCCUUGUGAGUACGACUGCAAAGUUGAAAACAAAAAAAUUAGUCGGUUUCGGAGCAA